ACCGGCUUCAUAAGUUUGGCCGUUUUAAAGACCGGCAGAGAAUUGCCUAGGGAAAUAUCCCUGAGACUGAGUCCCUCCAGGAGCCGACCAGCUGUCUUGGUUUGCAGCAGCUCCUCAAACUCCACCUUUAUCUUUUUGGAUCCCAGCAAGCCAUGACAGUGUGACAGUGAGCCAGGAUGAGCAGUACCAGGACCCUGAAGCUGAGGCAGCUAAUACUGUCUGUGACACUCAGCCCAAAGCCCACUGACGCUGACUCUUAUCCCGCCCCACGGACACUGCCCGUUACAUCGAGUCUCCAUAUCUAACGUGACAUGUUACAUCAUCAUAAUCAUUGGAUUAUUAUUUUGCACAUUGCACAUAUUUUUCGUACUGUGAACAUUUACAUAUUUAGUCAAUAUUUUGCACAUUCCAUUCUCUUCAUUUUAAACAAUGUACAGUUCUUUUCACUUAAGAACUAUUUUAUAUUUAUGAUUGCUUGACUUUUACAGUGCUGUUUUUUCCUCUUACUUUGUAUAUUUUGACUGUUAUGCACUACAACACCUUCCUUGUAUGUGAAAACCUACUUAGCAAUAAACCUGUUUCUGAUUCUGA